rnacentral:rRNA from 1 species
UACGGAGGGGCUAGCGUUGUUCGGAAUUACUGGGCGUAAAGCGCACGUAGGCGGCUUUGUAAGUUAGAGGUGAAAGCCCGGGGCUCAACUCCGGAAUUGCCUUUAAGACUGCAUCGCUAGAACGUCGGAGAGGUAAGUGGAAUUCCGAGUGUAGAGGUGAAAUUCGUAGAUAUUCGGAAGAACACCAGUGGCGAAGGCGACUUACUGGACGACCGUUGACGCUGAGGUGCGAAAGCGUGGGGAGCAAACAGG